rnacentral:rRNA from 1 species
GCAACUCGACUGCAUGAAGUCGGAAUCGCUAGUAAUCGCGGAUCAGCAUGCCGCGGUGAAUACGUUCCCGGGCCUUGUACACACCGCCCGUCACACCAUGAGAGUCGGGAACACCCGAAGUCCGUAGCCUAACCGCAAGGGGGCGCGGCCGAAGGUGGGUUCGAUAAUUGGGGUGAAGUCGUAACAAGGUAUC